AGAGUUUGAUCCUGGCUCAGGACGUACGCUGGCGGCGUGCCUAAUACAUGCAAGUAGAACGCUGGCUACUUUAGCUUGCUAGAGUAGAAGGAGUUGCGAACGGGUGAGUUAUCGCGUAGGUAACCUGCCUAUCUAGCGGGGGAUAAUCUAUUGGAAACGAUAGCUAAUACCGCAUAACAGUGUUUAACACAUGUUAGAUGCUUGAAAGAUGCAAAUGCAUCAUCUAGUAGAUGGACCUGCAUUGUAUUAGCUAGUUGGUGGGGUAACGGCCUACCAAGGCGACGAUAUCAUAGCCGACCUGAGAGGGUGAUCGGCCACACUGGGACUGAGAUCACGGCCCAGACUCCUACGGGAGGCAGCAGUAGGGAAUCUUCGGCAAUGGGGGCAACCCUGACCGAGCAACGCCGCGUGAGUGAAGAAGGUUUUCGGAUCGUAAAGCUCUGUUGUAAGAGAAGAACGUGUGUGAGAGUGGAAAGUUCACACAGUGACGGUAACUUACCAGAAAGGGACGGCUAACUACGUGCCAGCAGCCGCGGUAAUACGUAGGUCCCGAGCGUUGUCCGGAUUUAUUGGGCGUAAAGCGAGCGCAGGCGGUUUAAUAAGUCUGAAGUUAAAGGCAGUGGCUUAACCAUUGUUCGCUUUGGAAACUGUUAAACUUGAGUGCAGAAGGGGAGAGUGGAAUUCCAUGUGUAGCGGUGAAAUGCGUAGAUAUAUGGAGGAACACCGGUGGCGAAAGCGGCUCUCUGGUCUGUAACUGACGCUGAGGCUCGAAAGCGUGGGGAGCAAACAGGAUUAGAUACCCUGGUAGUCCCACGCCGUAAACGAUGAGUGCUAGGUGUUAGGCCCUUUCCGGGGCUUAGUGCCGCAGCU
rnacentral:rRNA from 1 species